UGUCGCUGAUGUGAUAAUGAGUGUUUUAGCUAAAAAUAAUAUUGAUUAUGCAAUAAUAAAUGGCAGUGUAACUGCUAACAAUAGAGCAAAAAUAAUAGCAGAAUUCCAGCAAGGAAAA